GACGAACGCUGGCGGCGUGCCUAAUACAUGCAAGUAGAACGCACAGUUUAUACCGUAGCUUGCUACACCAUAAACUGUGAGUUGCGAACGGGUGAGUAACGCGUAGGUAACCUGCCUGGUAGCGGGGGAUAACUAUUGGAAACGAUAGCUAAUACCGCAUAAUAUUGAUUAUUGCAUGAUAAUUGAUUGAAGGAUGCUAUUGCAUCACUACCAGAUGGACCUGCGUUGUAUUAGCUAGUAGGUGAGGUAACGGCUCACCUAGGCGACGAUACAUAGCCGACCUGAGAGGGUGAUCGGCCACACUGGGACUGAGACACGGCCCAGACUCCUACGGGAGGCAGCAGUAGGGAAUCUUCGGCAAUGGACGAAAGUCUGACCGAGCAACGCCGCGUGAGUGAAGAAGGUUUUCGGAUCGUAAAGCUCUGUUGUAAGAGAAGAACGGGUGUGAGAGUGGAAAGUUCACACUGUGACGGUAUCUUACCAGAAAGGGACGGCCAACUACGUG
rnacentral:rRNA from 1 species